ensembl:lncRNA
CCUCAAGUCAGGGGCUUUGACUGUGAGGCUCUAUCUUUAAUUGAAACACCUGUUUAGAGACCAGCUGUUACCCCUUCGGUUUGUUCCAAACCCUUCAUAGCUUCUUCCUUUCUGUCCUCCUUUUUCUUUUCUAUUUAUAUUUUCCUAUUUUCUUUUCUCUCUGCAUUUCUAAUCCUGCACCUCUGUCUUCUAUAUGACCUAAUGUCAGCCUGCCUUGGACUCUAUUGGAAUCCAGCACUACCUGAUGGAAACUUGGCGUGGUCAGUGCCCACUGGUAACUGUCAAGGCCUUUCCAUGCCUCAGUUCAGCUCCCUGAGAAGCUAUCGAGUGUCACAGCAUGUCACAGGCCACAGGCCAGCACACGGAGGGGUUCAUCUGAUGUCAGGUUGUCAAAGAGCCAAGGAGACGGAGUUUUGAUCUUUCGGGGCUACAAUUUCAAAUGAUAAAUAGCCUAAUUCUGGGAGUUCUCUUUGGAGUAACAAUGGUAACCUGAGUGCAAGAAACACAAGGUGAGUCGAAUCUCAGCAAAUUAUUGUCCAUAAGUCAAUUUCAGUUCAGUUCAGUUCAGUCACUCAGUCGUGUCCGACUGUUUUCGACCCCGUGAAUCGCAGCACGCCAGGCCUCCCUGUCCAUCACCAACUCCCGGAGUUCACUGAGACUCACGUUCAUCCAGUCAGUGAUGCCAUCCAGCCAUCUCAUCCUCUGUCGUCCCCUUCUCCUCCUGCCCCCAAUCCCUCCCAGCAUCAGAGUCCUUUCCAAUGAGUCAACUCUUCGAUGGACAUAUACACACCGCCAUGUGAAAAGACAGACGGCUGCGGGAAGCUGCAGUGUGGCAAAAGGAGCUCAGCUCCCGGCUCUGUGAUGACCCGGGGGCGGGGCGGGGCAGGGGGAAGACACAGGACGCUGGGGAUCUGUGUGUAUUUAUAACUGCUUCACAUUGUUGUACAGCAGAGACUAACACAACACUGCAAUCCAAUUAUAUUCCAAUAAAAGAGUAUCUGCAACAUCU